rnacentral:lncRNA from 1 species
CUUAAUAAAUAAAAUUAAAUAAAUAAAUUAAACCAAAAAACACAAAAAAAUAAUAAAAAAUAAAAUUAAAAAUUAAAAAAAAAAACAAAGAGGUUGGAAGCACGCUUGCCUCCAUUGUCAAUAAUAUACAAAGCAUUGAAUGCUCUUGAGGCAGCUAGGAUUUGCAGUCAUUUUCAGUGGAUUUGUUUUUGACUUAAAGGCAACACAUCCGAAAUUAUUGCCUUGGACAAUUGGGUUCUAUAAGAACCCAAAAACUCUUAUUCAAAACAGGAGGCAUAGGAGUUCUUUUGAAAAUUUUUUUUUGAAAGCUAGAGAAAACGAUCCAAAAAAACCAAACAACAAAAAAAAAAACCAAUCUUUCUAGAACCAACAACACACAAUCACCAAAAAUCCUAAACCUCUAGCAGCUGAAACCACAACCCACAACAAUAAAAAAACAAAAAAAAUAAUAAAGAAAAUAGAUAAAAAAAAGGAAGAAAAAAAAAACGAUAGAGGCAGUGGGUAGUGAGGGAUUUGCCAUUUGGGUUUUAUAGGAAAGGUGCAGUCAUCGAAAUAAGGGAGAGUUUGAGAGAAAGGUUUGCUGCCAGCGAAGGAAAGAGGGGUCAGCGAAGAGAGAGAGAGAUCGGUGAGCUAGUGAGAGAGCAGAAAAAUGGAGAGUUAGGAGCAAGGUUUGCCGCCGGCAGUGAGUGAGUGAGUGAAGAGAGAAAGCUGGUGAGAGAGGCGGUGGGAGGAGUUUGAAGAGAAAAGAAAAAACACGUUAUUAGAGAGAGGGGAAAGUGCUGCCUUAGUAGAGAGAGAAAAU